rnacentral:rRNA from 1 species
UGCCGGAUGUUCCACAUGAUCGCAUGUGAUUGUGGGAAAGAUUCUAUCGGCGUGGGAUGGGGUCGCGUCCUAUCAGCUUGUUGGUGAGGUAACGGCUCACCAAGGCUUCGACGGGUAGCCGGCCUGAGAGGGCGACCGGCCACAUUGGGACUGAGAUACGGCCCAGACUCCUACGGGAGGCAGCAGUGGGGAAUAUUGCACAAUGGGCGCAAGCCUGAUGCAGCGACGCCGCGUGAGGGAUGGAGGCCUUCGGGUUGUAAACCUCUUUUGUUUGGGAGCAAGCCUUCGGGUGAGUGUACCUUUCGAAUAAGCGCCGGCUAACUACGUGCCAGCAGCCGCGGUAAUACGUAGGGCGCAAGCGUUAUCCGGAUUUAUUGGGCGUAAAGGGCUCGUAGGCGGCUCGUCGCGUCCGGUGUGAAAGUCCAUCGCUUAACGGUGGAUCUGCGCCGGGUACGGGCGGGCUGGAGUGCGGUAGGGGAGACUGGAAUUCCCGGUGUAACGGUGGAAUGUGUAGAUAUCGGG